rnacentral:rRNA from 1 species
UACGUAGGUGGCAAGCGUUGUCCGGAAUUAUUGGGCGUAAAGCGCGCGUAGGUGGUUUCUUAAGUCUGAUGUGAAAGCCCACGGCUCAACCGUGGAGGGUCAUUGGAAACUGGGGAACUUGAGUGCAGGAGAGAAGAGUGGAAUUCCACGUGUAGCGGUGAAAUGCGUAGAGAUGUGGAGGAACACCAGUGGCGAAGGCGACUCUUUGGCCUGUAACUGACACUGAGGCGCGAAAGCGUGGGGAGCAAACAGG